GCCUGAGUGGCUCAGUGGUUGAGCAUCUGCUUUCAGCUCAGGUCGUGAUCCCAGGAUUCUGGGAUCGAGUCCUACAUCAGGCU
rnacentral:tRNA from 1 species